UUGGAAGUUGUACUUUAAAAUUGUAGCCCUCUGGAAAAGUUUCUAUGAGUCAUGCUCUUUAAUUUUGCAAGGGAGUUGCUACCUGUUGUAGGACCAUAGCAAAAUAAAAUCUGUACUAGUGUGCUUUUAUCUUACUAUUCUGCUUCCCUGAUAUUACCACAACUCUUGUAGGAGAGCUAUUGAAUUCGAGAAGAAAGCAAAUGAAGAGCAAUCGGAACAAAAGCAGUUAAUGGAGAAAAACCUUAUUACUAUGGCUCGGGAGGUNACAAAAGCAGUUAAUGGAGAAAAACCUUAUUACUAUGGCUCGGGAGGGGGAGAAGCUGCGAGCUGAGCAACUGAGUUUAGAUCGGAG
rnacentral:lncRNA from 1 species